ensembl:piRNA 21ur-6326 ncRNA
UACUGCCAGUCCUCUCCAAAU